rnacentral:tRNA from 1 species
CAGAAUUUAGUUUAAUUAAAAUAAUAAUUUUGGAGAUUAUUGAUAUACUUUAUUGUAUUAUUCUGA